ACGAACGCUGGCGGCGUGCCUAAUACAUGCAAGUAGAACGCUGAAGAGAGGAGCUUGCUCUUCUUGGAUGAGUUGCGAACGGGUGAGUAACGCGUAGGUAACCUGCCUUGUAGCGGGGGAUAACUAUUGGAAACGAUAGCUAAUACCGCAUAACAAUGGAUGACACAUGUCAUUUAUUUGAAAGGGGCAAUUGUUCCACUACAAGAUGGACCUGCGUUGUAUUAGCUAGUAGGUGAGGUAAUGGCUCACCUAGGCGACGAUACAUAGCCGACCUGAGAGGGUGAUCGGCCACACUGGGACUGAGACACGGCCCAGACUCCUACGGGAGGCAGCAGUAGGGAAUCUUCGGCAAUGGGGGCAACCCUGACCGAGCAACGCCGCGUGAGUGAAGAAGGUUUUCGGAUCGUAAAGCUCUGUUGUAAGUCAAGAACGGGUGUGAGAGUGGAAAGUUCACACUGUGACGGUAGCUUACCAGAAAGGGACGGCUAACUACGUGCCAGCAGCCGCGGUAAUACGUAGGUCCCGAGCGUUGUCCGGAUUUAUUGGGCGUAAAGCGAGCGCAGGCGGUUUGAUAAGUCUGAAGUUAAAGGCUGUGGCUCAACCAUAGUUCGCUUUGGAAACUGUCAAACUUGAGUGCAGAAGGGGAGAGUGGAAUUCCAUGUGUAGCGGUGAAAUGCGUAGAUAUAUGGAGGAACACCGGUGGCGAAAGCGGCUCUCUGGUCUGUAACUGACGCUGAGGCUCGAAAGCGUGGGGAGCGAACAGGAUUAGAUACCCUGGUAGUCCACGCCGUAAACGAUGAGUGCUAGGUGUUGGAUCCUUUCCGGGAUUCAGUGCCGCAGCUAACGCAUUAAGCACUCCGCCUGGGGAGUACGACCGCAAGGUUGAAACUCGAAGGAAUUGACGGGGGCCCGCACAAGCGGUGGAGCAUGUGGUUUAAUUCGAAGCAACGCGAAGAACCUUACCAGGUCUUGACAUCCCGAUGCUAUUUCUAGAGAUAGAAAGUUACUUCGGUACAUCGGUGACAGGUGGUGCAUGGUUGUCGUCAGCUCGUGUCGUGAGAUGUUGGGUUAAGUCCCGCAACGAGCGCAACCCCUAUUGUUAGUUGCCAUCAUUCAGUUGGGCACUCUAGCGAGACUGCCGGUAAUAAACCGGAGGAAGGUGGGGAUGACGUCAAAUCAUCAUGCCCCUUAUGACCUGGGCUACACACGUGCUACAAUGGUUGGUACAACGAGUUGCGAGUCGGUGACGGCGAGCUAAUCUCUUAAAGCCAAUCUCAGUUCGGAUUGUAGGCUGCAACUCGCCUACAUGAAGUCGGAAUCGCUAGUAAUCGCGGAUCAGCACGCCGCGGUGAAUACGUUCCCGGGCCUUGUACACACCGCCCGUCACACCACGAGAGUUUGUAACACCCGAAGUCGGUGAGGUAACCUUUUGGAGCCAGCCGCCUAAGGUGGGACAGAUGAUUGGGGUG
rnacentral:rRNA from 1 species